GGAGGGUGUGUAGGACUCGGGUGCUGUUCUGGGCUUCAUGACCCUUUUCUCCCCAUGUCAGAGAUUGGACCAGCUGAUCCUGCCACCAGCUGAUCCUGCCCACCGGAGCCCUGUGUAUGGGGGGGGUGGU